rnacentral:rRNA from 1 species
UACGGAGGAUCCAAGCGUUAUCCGGAUUUAUUGGGUUUAAAGGGUGCGUAGGCGGCCUAUUAAGUCAGGGGUGAAAGACGGUGGCUCAACCAUCGCAGUGCCUUUGAUACUGAUAGGCUUGAAUACACUAGAGGUAGGCGGAAUGUGACAAGUAGCGGUGAAAUGCAUAGAUAUGUCACAGAACACCAAUUGCGAAGGCAGCUUACUAUGGUGUCAUUGACGCUGAGGCACGAAAGCGUGGGGAUCAAACAGG